GAGACUGGUGGGCUUGCAGGAGAUACUGCAUGCCUUGGGACCACGAGGGGCCGAGGGUACUCACGGGGUAGGGGUGAAAUCCAGUAAUCCCGUGGGGACCACCUGUGGCGAAGGCGCUCGGCUGGUGUGGAUCCGACGGUGAGGGACGAAAGCCAGGGGAGCAAACCGGAUUAGAUACCCGGGUAGUCCUGGCUGUAAACGAUGCUCGCUAGGCACCGGGAGUUCUGAGUGGGCUCUCGAUGCCGUAGCGUAGGCGUUAAGCGAGCCGCCUGGGGAGUACGGUCGCAAGGCUGAAACUUAAAGGAAUUGGCGGGGGAGUACACAAGGGGUGGGGUCUGCGGUUCAAUUGGACUCAACGCCGGGAACCUUACCAGGGGCGACAGCAGGAUGAAGGUCAGUCUGAAGGGCUUACCAGACGCGCUGAGAGGUAUUGCAUGGCCGACGUCAGCUCGUGCCGUGAGGUGUGCCGCUAAGCCGGUUAACGAGCGAGACCCGUGCCCUCUGUUGCUACCUCUAUCUUCGGGUAGAGGGGCACUCAGGGGGGACUGCCUGCGUUAAGCAGGAGGAAGGUGCGGGCGACGUCAGGUCAGUAUGGUCCGAAUCUCCUGGGCUACACGCGGGCAACAAUGGCCGGGACAAUGGGAUGCGACCCCGAAAGGGGAAGCCAAUCCUCGAAACCCGGCCUCAGUUCAGAUCGAGGGCUGCAACUCGCCCUCGUGACGCCGGAAUCCCUAGUAGUCGAACGUUAGCACCGUUCGGCGAAUACGUC
rnacentral:rRNA from 1 species